UACGUAGGUGGCAAGCGUUGUCCGGAUUUACUGGGCGUAAAGAGCGCGCAGGCGGUCGUUCAAGUCGCGUGUGAAAGCCCCCGGCUCAACUGGGGAGGGUCACGCGAUACUGAUCGACUCGAAGGCAGGAGAGGGUAGUGGAAUUCCCGGUGUAGUGGUGAAAUGCGUAGAUAUCGGGAGGAACACCAGUGGCGAAGGCGACUACCUGGCCUGUUCUUGACGCUGAGGCACGAAAGCGUGGGGAGCAACAGG
rnacentral:rRNA from 1 species